UUGAAGGAGCAGCUCUCUGACAUUCCUGAUCUUCCCCACCACAGCGAGACUCUCUUGAAAACACACUGACGGAGAGCGAGGCCCGCUACAGCUCCCAGCUGUCCCAGGUGCAGAGCCUGAUCACCAAUGUGGAGUCGCAGCUGGCGGAGAUCCGCUGUGACCUGGAGCGGCAGAACCAGGAGUACCAGGUGCUGCUGGAUGUGCGUGCCCGGCUGGAGUGUGAGAUCAACACGUACCGGAGCCUCCUGGAGAGCGAGGACUGCAAGCUCCCCUGCAACCCAUGCGCCACCACCAAUGCUAGUGGCAACUCCUGUGGACCCUGUGGCACCUCUCAAAAGUGUUGCUGUAAUUGAAAAGCUUGUAUCCUCUUCGAAGGCAUCUACAGAGCCAUUUAGAUCAACCACAGGAAAGAUCUUCAAGUCCUGACUUUUCUGGAGCUCAGCUGACAUCAAGAAACCUCAUCUUGCCUACUAUGUUAUUUCUAGAAUGCUGAAAAGCUUUCCCCACCCAAGCAAAGACACACAUCAUCAACUUCCAAUGUCUGGACAACUCCUUCCUGUUGAGGGUGGAGCCUCUUUGUUUCUAAAGACGUUCAACUCCCUGUAAUCUGAGCUCCAGUUACUACUGUAGGGUGUUUCCUGAACGUACUGCAUUUCCUGUUUUCCUUUCUUCUUUGGCAUUCUCUGGAAUGCAAGGAGAAGACUUCAUUUACUUCCCAAUAAACUUCAUUUCUGUGGCAUAGUAAAUGUUUCUCAUUCAUAUUCAUGCAUUGUAAAUUACUCAUCAUGGCUGUUUCAUAAAAAUACCCCUUCAUUAGGAGAAUAGAAUGAAUUAAAUGACGGAGCCAAGCCUUUAUGCUUCACCAGAAACACUGAUGUAGACAGGGAAGGACAUCCUUUUGGGAGACUCCCACCCAGGGUAGGCCAUGCAGGAAACCUGGCCUUCAAUACCCAUGCUUGCCUUGCCUUGACUACAGGGCCCUUGGCAAUUUUGCAAAUCCUCCCCAAACUUCACUGCUAUCUCUGGCUCUCACCCUCAUCAGAACAGAAUGUUCUGCUUCUCUUUCUCCUAAAUUGCCUGAAGAACCUACAGAAACUGCUUAUACAGAAACUGUUCAAAGAGCAGUGAUUCUCUCCUCUCAACCUCUCUGCCACUCCUGCCUUUCUAAUAUAGAUACCUGUUCCUCCCUUGAAAUGCACCUUCAUUGAUUUCCACAACCCUGCACACUCUGGGUCUUCUUGAAAUAUCGCUAAUUACCUGUUCUCUGUUGUCUUGUUAGCUGUCUUCCCCUUUUUGUCCCAAAUGAAGGAAACACCUAUAUUCUCAGCCCUCCGUCUUGCUCUUUCUACGUCCCUGUUCAUGUAGAACUAGCCCCUCUAUGCUGAUGACUCCCACAUCUCUCUCUCUUCUCAGCUUGGUUUCCAGGUUUUCUGUUGCACAUAUGACAGUUUCACUUGGUAUCAGGUCAUUACAUCAUGUUUAAUUGGACUAAAACGUAUUUUUCCCAAACUGGUUCAUCUUGCCGCCCACUUGUUAUACCUGACAUAUUGUCCUCCAAAUAGGCCCUUUAAAUGCAGUCCUUACCUUUCCCCUCUUCAAGUUUAUUCUUUCCCCUAGAUCUUUGCUCUUAUCCAUAAUGUUCUUCCAUAGCCUCUUUAUCAUUUCAUUUUCUGUAAUUCCAAGAAAGGCCAAUGUUCAUUAAGCAUCUCCCCCAAAACAUUAAUCUUACUCCACACCCCACUUGCCUCAUCUCUGAAUUUUUAAAGCUUUCAAUUUUAUAGGCCACCAUCUCAAUUAUCCAUUUAAUUUAAUGCAACUACAAUCAAUCAUCUACUGUUUGUCCCGGAUACUGUGGGCAGUACUGAGAAACACAAAUAAGUGAAUCCCAGUGAAGCCCACAGCAUGUCUUACAGUUUAGAGUGCAUGAGUCUAUUUGUCAUCAUAGACAAAUAUCAGUGUGGCUCAAGAAACGAAUAGAUAAAGAAUUAUGAAUUUCAGAGGUGUGAGAGAAUGUCUCGUUGACUGCAGGCCCUUCAGAAGAGGCAAUAUCGUCACCUAAUUAAAGCCUAUGUAAACCAUGGAAUACUGUAAGUGGAAUAAAUAAGGAAGAGUAAAACUAAUGAAAAUUCAUGAGGUUAUUAAAACUUUAUAUACUUCCCAUAGUUUCAACUUCAAUCAACGAUUACUGUAUGAUAUUAGCAUAAUUCUGAAAUAAAGUUUGCUGGGAAAUGCCUGGUCAGAUGGGUGUGUGUAGGCCAUAGAAGAGGGAAAGUUUUGGCCAGGCACAGUGGCUCACACCUGUAAUCCCAGCACUUUGGGAGGCUGAGGCGGGUGGAUCACGAGGUCAGGAGAUCAAGACCAUCCUGGCUAACACGGUGAAACCCCAUCUCUAGUAAAAAUACAAAAAAAAAAAGAAAAAAAAAAUUAGCCAGGCGUGGUGGCGGGCACCUGUAGUCCCAGCUACUCAGGAGGUUGAGGCAGGGGAAUUGCUUGAACCCAGGAGGCAGAGGUUGCAGUGAGCCAAGAUCGUGCCACUACACUCCAGCCUGGGUGAUAGAGUGAGACUCCGUCUUAAGAAACAACAACAACAACAACAAAACAGAGAAGAGGAAACUUCCUGAGCAUGAACUUUGCCUGGAGGAGUUAUAAAGUUUGUUUAGAAACUGACAACCCAAUUCCCAGCCUAGAACAGAGGGUAAGUGUGGUAAUAGGAGAUGAAACUGCAAGGUAAUCAGGUAGGAGCAUGUUUGGCAGUGCUCUGAAUGAUUAUGAAUGAGAUUUUCUUGUAAGGGAGUUUGUCAUAUGAUGUGUCUGGCUGCUGUGUACAGGUUGGGUUGUGAGGAGUCCUAGAAGCUGGAUGAAAUAGAAGGAAGAUCAAUUAGUAGGUGGGAGACAAUAAAGACUGAGAUAAGUGGAGGUGAGUGAGGCAGAAGAGGGGUAGAUUUUAGAGGCAUGGCUUAAAUAUGGAAGCUGAGUAGAGGUAGAGGAACAAGGGAAAGAGAAGGAAGGAAACUAGUACUGAUCACACACUGUAUUAGUCAGGGUUGUCCAGAGAAAUAGAAACAGUAGGCUAUAUAUAGAUACACAGAAAAAGAUUUAUUAUGAGGAAUUAGCUCAUGUGAUUAUGGAGGCUGAGAAGUCCCACAGUCUGCUGUCUUCAAGGUGGAGGCCCAGGAAAGCCAGUGGUAUAGUUCCAAUCCAAACCCAAAGGACUGAGAAUCAGGAAGGCUGAUGGUGUGAGUCCUGGUUUGAGACUGAAGCCUCAAGAACUGGGAGCAUUGAUGUUAGAGGGCAGGAGAAGAUGGAUGUCCCAGCUCAGCUCCAUUCUCAUUGGGAGUGCAGGACUGAGUGUAAGAGAAACAAUGACGGCUCUGGAGAGGGUCUGUGGAACUAGCCCCUGAGUUCCAUUUUGAGUUGUCUGUAUCUGUUUUUUCUCAGCAUAGUUUACUACUGACCUGGCCUAUUCUCCAGACCCUCUCCUGCUUCUCCCUUAAGGGUCAGUAAGAGAUAAAUAAUUUGCCUUUCUUUUGCCUUUUAGUUCUAUUUGACUACCCACAUUAGAGGACACCUGCCCACAUUGGUGAGGGUGAUCUUUACUCACUCUUCUGAUUCAAAUGCUGAUCUCUUUUAGAAACACCUUCACAGACAUAACCAGAAAUAAUGUUUUACCAGCUAUCUGGGCAUCC
rnacentral:lncRNA from 1 species